CCCUUAGAUGUUCUGGGCCGCACGCGCGUUACAAUGAAUCGUUCAACAGGUUUCUUCCUGAGUCGAAAGGCUUGGGUAAUCCUUUAAAUACGGUUCGUGCUAGGGAUAGAUUUUUGCAAUUAUUAAUCUUGAACGAGGAAUAUUUAGUAAACGCAGGUCAUCAGCCUGCAUUGAUUACGUCCCUGCCCUUUGUACACACCGCCCGUCGCACCAACCGAUUGGAUGUUUUGUUGAAAUAUGUGGAUGCCUGUUGGGUGAAUUUAUUUUUGCUUGAUAGACAGAAACGUAUUAAAACUGAAUAUCUAGAGGAUGGUGAANUCGUAACA
rnacentral:rRNA from 1 species